rnacentral:lncRNA from 1 species
CUCAGCCCAGGUCUGAUCCUACAGCAAAUCUAAAGGUCAGGGAGCUUUUCCAAUAAUCAGCAGGUUUAACAGUCCUGGUUUUGUAUUUUCCAGAAAUUGUCCCUAAGGUGUUCCACGAGACUGAUCUCCAUAGGAGGACCAAGUCACAAACUACAAGUGAGUCCUGUGCUGUGACGAAUGCAAGAAAGGACACUGAGAAUUAGACACCGGGUCUUUACUGCUGUCCGAUGC